GACGAACGCUGGCGGCGCGCCUAACACAUGCAAGUCGAACGGAGCUAUUUCGAUAGAUCCCUUCGGGGUGACAUUGGCUUAGCUUGGUGGCGAACGGGUGAGUAACGCGUGAGGAACCUGCCUCAAAGAGGGGGACAACAGUUGGAAACGACUGCUAAUACCGCAUAAGCCCACAGCUCGGCAUCGAGCAGAGGGAAAAGGAGUGAUCCGCUUUGAGAUGGCCUCGCGUCCGAUUAGCUGGUUGGUGAGGUAACGGCCCACCAAGGCGACGAUCGGUAGCCGGACUGAGAGGUUGAACGGCCACAUUGGGACUGAGACACGGCCCAGACUCCUACGGGAGGCAGCAGUGGGGAAUAUUGCACAAUGGGGGAAACCCUGAUGCAGCGACGCCGCGUGGAGGAAGAAGGUCUUCGGAUUGUAAACUCCUGUUGUUGAGGAAGAUAAUGACGGUACUCAACAAGGAAGUGACGGCUAACUACGUGCCAGCAGCCGCGGUAAAACGUAGGUCACAAGCGUUGUCCGGAAUUACUGGGUGUAAAGGGAGCGCAGGCGGGAAAGCAAGUUGGAAGUGAAAUCCAUGGGCUCAACCCAUGAACUGCUUCCAAAACUGUUUUUCUUGAGUAGUGCAGAGGUAGGCGGAAUUCCCGGUGUAGCGGUGGAAUGCGUAGAUAUCGGGAGGAACACCAGUGGCGAAGGCGGCCUACUGGGCACCAACUGACGCUGAGGCUCGAAAGUGUGGGUAGCAAACAGG
rnacentral:rRNA from 1 species